rnacentral:lncRNA from 1 species
GAGAGUUUAAAUUUGUAACUUAUCGAUGUCAACGUUCACAAGAACCAAAACCGGAACAACAUUAGACUACUCAGUUGCGCCCUAACAGUAUAACUUUGCAACGAGUACUUUUUCUCAUUCUAUCGAACAAAGAGUAAAACCUAAUUAUAUUGUUCUAUUAUACCCCGAGAGUGUAAAUUUUUAACUUAUCGAGGUCAACGUUCACAAGAACCAAAGCCCAACCAACAUUAGACUACUCAGUUGCGCCCUAACAGCAUAACUUUGCAAUAAGUACUUUUUCUCCUCCAACCGAAUAAAGAGAAAAACCUAAUUAUAUUGUUCUAUUUUACCCUGAGAGAGUAAAUUUGCAACGUAUCAAUGUCAACGUUCACAAAAAUCAAAACCGGACCAACAUUAGACUACUCAGUUGCGCCCUAACAGCAUAACUUUGCAAUAAGUACUUUUUCUCCUCCAACCGAAUAAAGAGAAAAACCUAAUUAUAUUGUUCUAUUUUACCCUGAGAGAGUAAAUUUGCAACGUAUCAAUGUCAACGUUCACAAAAAUCAAAACCGGACCAACAUUAGACUACUCAGUUGCGCCCUUACAAUAUAACUUAAUUAUAUUGUUCUAUUAGACUUUUUCUCAUUCAAUUGAACAAAGAGUAAAACCUAAUUAUAUUGUUCUAUUAUGCCCCGAGAGUAUAAAUUUGCAGUGUAUCGAUGUCAACGUUCACACGAACCAAAAUGGUACAAACAUUAGACUACUAGUUGUGCCCUAACAGUAUAACUUUGCAACGAGUACUUUUUCUCAUUCAACCGAACAAACAGUAAAACCUGAUUAUAUUGUUCUAUUAUGCCCCGAGAGUAUAAAUUUGCAACGUAUCGAUGUCAACGUUCACAAGAACCAAAAUCGGAACAACAUUAGACUACUCAGUUACGCCAUAACAGUAUAACUUUGCAAACAGUACUUUUUCUCAUUCAAUCGAACAAAGAGUAAAACCAACUUAUAUUAUUCUAUUAUACCCCGAGCAUGUAAAUUUGCAACUUAUCGAUGUCAACGUUCACAAGAACGAAAACCGGAAGAACAUUAGACUACUCAGUUGCGCCCUAACAACAUAACUUUGCAAACAGUGCUUUUUCUCAUUCAAUCGAACAAAGAGUACAACCUAAUUAUAUUGUUCUAUUAUCGCCCGAGAGUGUAAGUUUGCAACGUAUCGAUGUCAACGUUCAUAAGAAUCAAAACCGGAAAAAUAUUAGACAACUCAGUUGCUCCCUAAUACUAUAACUUUACAAAGAGUACUUUUUCUCAUUCAACCGAACAAAGAGUAAAACCUAAUUAUAUUGUUCUAUUAUGGCCCGAGAGUGUAAAUUUACAAGGUAUCGAUGUCAACGUUCAAAAAAACCAAAACCGGACAAAAAUUAGACUACUCAGUUGCUCCCUAACAGUAUAACUUUACAACGAGUACUUUUUCUUCUUCAACCGAACAAAGAGUAAAAUCUAAUUAUAUUAUUCUAUUAUGACCCGAAAGUGUAAAUUUGCAACGUAUCGAUGUCAACAUUCACAAGAAACGAAACCGAAAAAAUUUUAGACUACUCAGUUGCUCCCUAACAUUAUAACUUUGCAACGAGUACUUUUUCGCAUUCAAUCAAAAAAAGAGUAAAACCUAAUUAUAUUGUUCUAUUAUGCCCCGAUAGUGUUAAUAUGCAAUGUAUCGAUGUCAACGUUCACAAGAACCAAAACCAGAACAACAUUAGACUUCUCUAUUACGCCCUAACAGCUUAACUUUGCAAACAGUACUUUUUCUCAUUCAAUCGAACAAAGAGUAAAACCAAAUUAUAUUAUUCUAUUAUGCCCCUAGAAUGUAAAUUUGCAACGUAUCGAUGUCAACGUUCACAGAAACCAAAACGGGAAGAACAUUAGACUACACAAUUGCGCCCUAACAGCAUAAUUUUGCAAUGAGUACUUUUUCUCCUUCAACCGAACAAAGAAUAAAAGCUAAUUAUAUUGUUCUAUUAUGCCCCGAGAGUGUAAAUUUACAAUGUAUCGAUGCAAACGUUCACAAAAACCAAAACCGGAACAACAUUAGACUACUCAGUUGCACCCUAACAAUAGAACUUUGCAAACAGAGCUUUUUCUCAUUCAAUCGAACAAAGAGUAAAAUCCAAUUAUAUUAUUCUAUUAUACCCCGGGAGUGUAAAUUUGGAACGAAUCGAUGUCAACGUUCACAAAACCCAAAACCGGAACAACAUUAGACUACUCAGUUGCGCCCUAACA